UGAUAUCAGGGGUUAAACUUUCUUGCAAACCAUCAUAUGUGUUGCUGCCUUCCCUCAGCACAAAAGGUCAAGAAAAAUUGCAAGGCCCUCGCUGUUCAUAGACUAUCUUCCCACAACACAAACUUGUCUAUAUUAACUUUGCUUUCCAUUAAGGGUGAUUGGCGAGAUGCAGUGUCCUUGUGCUUGAGGGUAGGCUGGGUGGAGGGUGAGGCUUGUGCUCAGUAGGUUACGGCUUGGAAGAGCAUGCUUUUUGGUUAGGUUUUAAUUUAGAGGGCAUUUGGGUCAAUUUAAGUGAAUUGUAUUCUUUGGAGGUCCAGUUCAGAGCCUCCAGAUCAGCUGUACGAUAAUGCUCCUCGUUCCACCCACUGGUCUGAGAAAGUCACCUCUACCUUGACAAGCAUGGCCAGACGAAAGGCUUCACCGAUCUCUUCAUCCACUUUUCCCCUGCGGAUGCUGAGAUCGAGCUUGGCUGUUCUUAAUCUUGUGAGUGAUUUUCAUUAAACCCACAACCACAUAUAUCUUGCAUCUCUAAUCGUAAAUCUUUUUUCUCUAGGUAAAAUAAUUCAGUAAGAUGGGGUUGAGAAUUUUCCUAAUUACCUGUAAAAAUUGUGGGCAACUUAGUAGUUGUACAUAUUUAUAUUUUCUUGUUUUGGUUAAUAGUAUUGAAAAGGAUGUUACUGGAACUAGGUUCUGGAUAAUUGUGAAUGUUUUGUUUCCCCUAUAACAGUAAUAGGAGUAAGUAGAAGUGAUUCAUAACUACAAACCGUCUUGAGCUUGAAUUUCUACAGUAUUUGCCUUUAUUUCUCUGUUCUCCUUUGUUAGUAUCAUCCUUAGAUUUAGGACCUUGAGACCAUAUUGUCACAGCUGAUCGUGGUGGGCGAGUCCUUGUUGCUACCGUCUUGAGCUUUAAUUUCUAAGGCAACUGUUUUAUCAUUGUUCUUAUUAGUAUCAGUAUUUGCCUUCAUUUCUAUGUUCUCCUUUUCACCAUUAUCAACAACUUUUUUUCUAAAUGCCCAUCAGCCAUUUUUCAACCUAAGUUCUCCAGAACCAGAUUUCUUUCUGAGGCUAUUUGCUCUUUUUAGCUACAUUGGCUGUUUCAUUGUCUAAAUUUGGCCUGUUGCACUGGAGGGCUUAGAAGCCCUGGGCUGGGAAGUUACUAGAAUUUUCAAAAAUCCACCACUGCUUUCCAAAAAUCCUAAGAAGUUACUAGAAUUUUCUGCUAGGAAGUCGAUCAAUCAUGCCUGGCAGAUCUCAAUCUGUCUCUUCAAUUUGAAGUUGUGGUUUUUGAACCUCUUCAACUAUUAGAGCCCUUUCUAGUGCACUUCUCAAUAUCCUUUCUGCUUGAAGAAGCGCUGCAAUCUGAAGAAAUGCCAAAAGGGAAUGUAAAACUCUGUGAUGAGCCCUCCUCAUGCUCAUAUAUAAUGCAUGAAUUGGUUUUAGAGAUGAAAAUUCGUUUGCCUCAUCCUUAUGCAUUUCAAUAGGAGAGAUGACAGACUCAAUUGGAGGAGAUUCAUCGUCCUUUUGAUUUGCAUGAAGCAUUCCAAGAGUUGCUUCUGCAGCAUAUUGUGCAGCCAAUGCAUCUCUCUUGUCAUAAAUUAGUUUCUUGAUUUCAAGAUUCUGCAUUUUAUGCAUAUUUGGUUAUGGAGAUUUGGACAUGAGCAUGACAAAGAGUUUUGAGUAGUGAUGAAAGUUGAUGAUAUUUUAGCCAUAUAAGGUACGAUUAGGAUACCAAAAAAUCUCAAUAAUUAAACACACCUACCUACCUACCCACCCUGUGUUCUAGAAGACUUGCAGUGACUCUCAGUUUCUCGCCCAAUUUCUAUACAAAUCUAUUCUACAGCCAUAUCCUUUAUAACUUCAGUAAAGCUCUAGGAGCCUUGAUCUCCCCUGGAUAGCAAUCCCUGUAAAUUUGGCAACUUGGUAGAUGUACAUAUUUUUAUAUUCUCUUUUUGGUUAAAUUGAGUUGAAGAUCAAUUAAA